GACGAACGCUGGCGGCGUGCUUAACACAUGCAAGUCGAACGAAGUGGCGAACGGGUGAGUCACGCGUAAUCAACCUGCCCUUCAGAGGGGGACAACAGUUGGAAACGUCUGCUAAUACCGCAUACUGAAGGAGGGGCUUGCGUGUGAUUAGCUAGUUGGAGGGGUAACGGCCCACCAAGGCGAUGCUCAGUAGCCGGGCUGAGAGGAUGAACGGCCACAUGGGGACUGAGACACGGCCCAGACUCCUACGGGAGGCAGCAGGGGGGAAUCUUCCGCAAUGGACGAAAGUCUGACGAAGCAACGCCGCGUGAGUGAUGACGGCCUUCGGGGUGUAAAGCUCUGUUAAUCGGGACGCGGUACCGGAAUAGAAAGCCACGGCUAACUACGUGCCAGCAGCCGCGGUAAUUC
rnacentral:rRNA from 1 species